AAACAAUCAAAGAUUGAUGCGUUGGUAAAUUGAAUCAGCUGUGUAGUGCUAGGGAAAAACACCAAACAUUCACCUGGGGGCCCAGGACCGACUAUGGGAACGUUGGGCUAGAGUGCACAUGCCAAGGCCAGAGUAGGCAUAUUUGCUAUUUAAUUAAUGCAACAGUUUUAGUGAAAAAACUAUCGGUAGAGUUGAAAAUGCGAUGGAAACAUGUUGAACUAUAAGCUUUUUUUUUAGCUCUCUGAUUUUGUUCCGCAAAAAGUACAUUUGGUUGAAACCCCACUGGUGUGGAAAAGGCGCAUAUUUACUUUUUGCUUAUUCUGCAGUAUUCACUUAAAUCUGCCGCCAAUUGGACAGAAACCUAGCUCGUCGAGCUGUAUGCGAUUGAAUGUAGUAACCACCGGGGCGGCAGGGUAGCCUAGUGGUUAGAGCGUUGGACUUGUAACCGCAAGGUUGCAAGUUCAAACCCCCGAGCUGACAAGGUACAAAUCUGCUGUUCUGCCCCUGAACAGGCAGUUAACCCACUGUUCCUAGGCCGUCAUUGAAAAUAAGAAUUUGUUCUUCACUGACUUGCUUGGGUAAAAAAAAAAAUGCGUAUUUGCAUGCCUUAAAUUGUCCUUCAAAGAUUCCGUAGGUGAUCCUUAUAAAUAGACACCACCCCGUUUUUCGUUCUCUUGUUCUCACUCAGAAGUCUGAGCAUGUCUCCAAGGUGAAGAGUACAAUGAGGAAGAUUAGAUGCCACCAUGACCUAUUGGUGUCACUGUCCAAGCAAAUGGCACAUGAACGUAGCAGUAAGGCCUGCCUUUUCUCCGUGAAAGAAUAUAGUGGUAAGCUACACCAGGUGGCAUUUGGAACUCUGUCCAGUCUUAAAAAAGUAAUGUGUAAUUGGUCUGUGAUGAGAAAUCAUGCACCACGCUGAACUUGUGAUGGAUAACCUCUACCACAUUAUCUGAGACCUGCACAGACAUGGUUACAAAUAAAUGCUGGUUCAUAAGGCUGGGUUGUGAAUGCUUGGUUCUGGUUUCCCCGACAUGGAUUAAGCCUACUUCUGGGCUAAAGCUAUUUCUAUGGCGAAUCCAUAUAGGCCCCUACUAACAGUUUAAUGGGCUUGUUUCUCAGAAGACCUGUUUUACCAAUGAUACUUCUUGGUGGUUCUUGCCCUUUGUGAUGUAACGGUCUACAAUGCCACUGUUACAAUGAGCGGGCAGACAAACUAACCAAUGAUGGCACGGCUGCCCUGUUCAGUGGGCAUAGAACCGGCCUGAUAUGCCAAGGUAUCAUAUCCUGUCCUCUCGGUGACAUGACCUAUUAAUCGAGCACAUUUGAUCUUGGUGUGACUGAUGCUUUAGAACAGGGUUAUUGAACACUUUCUAUAGGGCAGGGUUUCCCAAAAUGUCCGGUUGAACCCAAGGGGUGCGCAAUUUGGGUUUUGUCUAAGCACUACACAGCUGAUUUAAAUAAUCAACUAAUCAUCAAGCUUUGAUCAUUUCAAUCAGUUGUUGGUGCAAAAACCAAAACGAUACCCUUCAAGGUCUGGAGCCUGCUGGUGUUCUGCUCUACCUGAUAAUUGUACCCUCCUGGGGUCCCAGUGAUUUAGAAGAAACCAACUCAGUGGAACUGGCUUUGAGGUCUAGACUUAGGGCUGUUGCACUAGCAGCUACCUACUUGGACUAACUACUUAUUAUAUCUACACUUUGACUAUUUGUUGGCAUUUUUUUUUUUUUUUCCUUGCUCGGUUUCCUUAACUGUUACCAUCCUGUUGUUUUCAGAUAAAGGGUGGUGCAGCACUGCUUGCUGACUUACUGGUUAGUGGGUCAUGAUGUGACUCCACAAUGGUAAGUCCUUGCCUCAAUUGGUUAUGCACUGGCUAAAUGUCUUGUUCUCCUAGCAAUCUGCCCCUUGAGGUGUUGCAGUCCGACUGUACGUGUUGAGCCUGUGUCAUGAGGGGCGGAGAGUGACAGGGCUAUGUCUACGCCAAGGACCCAGAACAGUGGGUACUUGGAGUGAUCAUAGCGGCAACAGUGUAUGCAAUGUAAUGCUGGUAAAUGACGUGUUCAUAUCAUACAUUUAGCGUUCUGUUUUCUCUGGUUGUCCUUAGGAUGUGAAGUUGCCAAUGCGAAAUUGGUAUACCGCUGGUUGGUGUCCUAGCGGCUGUGACCUGGAAGUAGCAGAAUGAUUGCCGCCUUUCCUCCCUGAAAGAAUGCUGUGCAGUGUGCACAUAACAGCGAUAAAGGAUGGUCUGGAGGUGCAGCAGUGCUGACCUACUGGUUAUAGUGGGUCAUGAUGAGGCGCCACAAGCCACGCUGCCAAUGAGAAGUUGGUAUUUUGGUGUCCUAGCAGAUGUAACCUGGAAGUAGCAGAAUAAUUGCCGCCUUUCCUCCCUGAAAGAAUGCUGUGCACAGAACGGUAAGCAACAUCCAUGGCAUUUUAACUUUAAGUCUUAAAAGAAAAUGUUUAAUGAGAAAUCAUUCACCACGCUGAACUUGUGAUGGAUAACCUCUAUACCACAUUAUCUGAGACCUGCAGAGACAUAGUUACAAAUUCACACAAGGCUUGUUAAUGUUACACUGAGCAAAUGAACGGGUUGGUUUCAUGAGCUGAAAUAAAAGUUCGCAGAAAUCUUCCAUGCGCACAAGAACCUUAUUUCUCAAAUGUUUUGCACAAACUUGUUUAUACCUGUUAGUGAGCAUUUUCCUUUGCCAAGAUGAUCCAUCCACCUGAUAUGUGACAUAAGCUUCUUUAUUAAACAGCAUGAUCAUUACACAGGUACACCUUGUGCUGUGAAAAAAAUAUGCCGUUUUGUCAACACAAUGCCACAGAUCUCUCAUGUUGAGGGAGCGCAAUUAGCAUGCCGACUGCAGGAAUGUCAACCAGAGCUGUUGCCAGAUUUGGAUUUUAAUUUCUCUACCAUAAGCAGCAUCCCAACAUUUUAGAAUUUGUCAGGACUUCCAUAUUUUCACCUAUACGAUCUGAGACCGCUACCCGGACAGCUGAAACUGGGUUUGCUCAACAUUCAGUUCUGCAUGGACUGUCAUACAGUCUCAGGACACUUGGGUGUCUUGACCUGACUAUGCUCACCUUUGUUGGAGUGUGCCCUUCACAGGUGUAUCCCAGUUUCAACUGUACCGGGUAGAUGGCAGGCAGCGUCCAGUGUUGUGGGUGCGCAGUUUGCUGAUGUCAAAGUUGCGAAGAGUGCCCUAUGGUGGCAGUGGUGUUACGAUAUGGGCAGGCAUAAGCAAUGGCCAACUACAUACAAAUUGCCGUCGAUAAUAUGUAAUUGUGUUUUGAGGUUCCGUGAUGAGAUCCUGAGGCCUGUUGUGCCGCCAUCUGUCUCACCUCGUGUUUCAGCGCUAAUCCAUGGCCCUAUGUUGUAAUGAUCUGUACAAAAUUCCUGUGAGCUGAAAUGUCCUGUUUCUUCCAUGGCUUACAUACAGAGCAUGUUUAUGAUGCUUUGUAUGAUUGUGUGUUCCUGCAAUAUCCAUCCACUUCGAACAGGCCACACUCACCUCAUCUGCUCAACUCUAUGCGAAGGAGAUGUUGUGAUGCCUGAGGUAAAUGGUUGUUGCACGAGCCUUUAUCUGUGACAAAUCUAUUCCCUGUCAUGUGAAAUCUAUAGAUUAGGGCCUACUGGAUUUAGUACCAUAGCCUGAUUUUCCUUGACUUAACUUUGAAAAUUUGAAAUUAGUUCGGUAUAGAUUAAACCUACUAAUGGACUAAAGCUCUUUCAAUGGAGAAUCCAUGUAGGCACCAAUAGGUUUGUUUUUCAGCACAUGUAUUAAUGGUGUUUCCUACCUCUUGAUGUACUUGUGGCUCCAAUUGCAUGAUAAACUGACCCACAAUGACUUAACUGCCCGCUUUAGUGGGAAGCAGGUAUGGCACAGUCUCAGGUACCCAGACCCUCGCCAGGAGGGCAAAGUGUCCUAACCUAUUAAUCACGCACGUUUGGUGCAAUACUCAAGAACUAGCAUCAAUGUAUUUGGACCCACUACUUAAUGUGUAUGCUGUUGCCUUGAUAUGUUGCUCUUCAAACUUACCUGUUACAUCUUUAUUUUCAGAGUCUGACAGUGUGGGGUUGACAUGGCGCCACAGGUCAUUGUAAGUCUGCCUCAUUUGGUUACACACUGGCUAAAUGUAUAUUGGUCUCAUCGAAAUCUGCCCCUUGAGGUGUUGCAGUCCGACUAUGUGUUGAGCCUGUGUCAUGAGGGGCGGAGAGUAACCGGGCUACGUCUACGCCAAGGACCCAGGACAGUGGGUACUUUGCAUGACUAUGGCGCCGAUAUUGGGACCCAUUUUAGACCAGCAGACAAAUGUCAACUUCUAGUGCUUGAACAGGUGGCCGAGUGCUUGAUUUAAGCUCCCUCGGUAGUUUAGCUUGUUUUGCCAAAACCACUUAUUACUGACUGGUAAUUGCCAUUGGGCCAAUACUUAGUUGAUUCAACUAACCUGAGGUUUUAUGACUUGGUCACUUUUUUUAAAGGGUUGCCAGGUUUUUUAUAUUAUUCUCACCAAUUUCCUGAUUUGAUCGAUGGGACAGGUGCUGAAGAACGACUGAAGAUUGGCCUGUUGAAGAUGAAAGGUGGCAGUACCUUAGAAGAAAGCAGAUUGUUCAGUUGCCAGUCCUAGACUAGGGUGCCAUCUGAUUGUGUAUGCAGCUGCCACUAUUAUAGCCGUUAGAUGCCGUUAAUCACAGCAAGCUCAGUUUUAGUUUCUGGUUAUCACGUGAAAACCCUUUACUCUGGGUGACCUAGGUGAAAUUGGCUCAACAAAUAUUAAUUAAACAUACCUGCCCUGUUCGAUUUGAAUAAAUGUAUUGCUUUCAAGAUAAUUAAAAUAAACUCAAGCUGAUCUCAG
ensembl:lncRNA